UACGAAGGGUGCAAGCGUUACUCGGAAUUACUGGGCGUAAAGCGUGCGCAGGCGGUUGUGUAAGUCAGAUGUGAAAUCCCCGGGCUCAACCUGGGAACUGCAUUUGUGACUGCACAGCUGGAGUGCGGCAGAGGGGGAUGGAAUUCCGCGUGUAGCAGUGAAAUGCGUAGAUAUGCGGAGGAACACCGAUGGCGAAGGCAAUCCCCUGGGCCUGCACUGACGCUCAUGCACGAAAGCGUGGGGAGCAAACAGG
rnacentral:rRNA from 1 species